GCGCCCGUAGCUCAGCUGGAUAGAGCAACGGCCUUCUAAGCCGUAGGUCGCAGGUUCAAGUCCUGCCGGGCGCGCCA
rnacentral:tRNA from 2 species